ensembl:lncRNA
GAAACAUGGGGAAAAUGUUCCAAAGAACCGAAAAAGGACUUGACUUUUCCUGGACGCUAGGCAACGGUAGCCAAAAAGUACAAAACAAGCCAUAGGAUGUUCGUAAGAUGAUUUCUAAAAAUAAUAAUACUUAGUACUUUGGUAUCUAAUGUGCUUUUUUGCCUUCAUUAUAUUUCCCAGAUCUGGACCUCGGUUAUAAUGUUGUCAUGUCACCCUGAAGGCUGCAGUAGACAAGGAACUACUGUAGAGGCAACCUGGAGCAAUAAGCAGUGAUUGCACUUAGCGUGGAUGCUAUGGAGGAGGGAAUAUGAAAAGCAAGAAGGUAAAGAAAGGACUUCUGUGGAAUCUGCAUGAACUGAAGCAUGACAAAGGCUGAAGUUAUAAAAUAAGUGAUAGGAGGAAUGGAAGAGAGGAGCAAGUUAAAGUCCAGGUCCUGAGUGACAAUAGACACUCUCAGCAUGGAGCUCUGAUGCUUAAAACACGGGAGAAAAGUAGGAUGCUGGUACCACAGAAUUAGUGUGCUCCAAACUUUGGGCUGUACCUCCUGGCCAGGGAUGAAAUCUGCCUCCAGGCCCAUGCUCCCCAAGCACCUUCGUACUCAGCACGUUGCCCUGCUUAUCCCCAGACACACCGAGAGCCUGGGCAAGGGAAGUCCUCCGGGAUGAAACAUGGGGAGCUCCUGCUGAUGAGCCUGUAGGACCUUACAGCUCCUUGUGUGUCUGCUUGCUGUGCCUUGGCUGCAUAGGAACUGCUUACCUGAUCUCCAAGGGUUGAAGUCAGGAAGGAAUUCUUCCUCUCCAUCUGAUCACAAAGGCUGCUUCUUUCAUCUGCUGCAAUUCAAGGCUUGGUCUCCCUCCUGGAUGUGUUCACAAUCACCCUCCCUGCUGUUGCUGGGACCCGAUAUGUCGGCACGGCUCUUGACCUCUCCUCAUAGGUCUUUGGGGUAACAGAGAACAGCAAGCCACUUGUGAUCCACAAAGGAAAAUGGCAGCACAAGCAACAGGAUUGAACUUCUGCAGUAGUGGUGAUGGUGUGCCACCUGGCUGUGGAAUCAUGCGCAAGGCUGCAAGGGUCUGUGUUUCCUAUGGCACAAGAAGACUACCAGCUGAGGCAACAGGCUAGAGAUUCCUCCAGUACUGUUUCACAGAAUCAUAGAAUAUCCUGCGUUGGAAAGGACCCACAAAAGUCAUAGAGUCCAGAUCCUGGAGGGGACUCUUUGAGCUUUCCACUUUCGGCUUUGUGUCGUUGGCCAAGGAGCUGCCUUUCCUGCAGUUAACAGCAUCAGGGCUCUGCUCCUUGCUUUCUGCAAGGUCCUCUGUUCAUCCCCUCAGGGCGGCAGCAGUGGCUCAUCUGGGCAGCUGGCUGCCUUGUGGAAGAACCCCAUUUUGGGACCUGCAACAAUAUCAGUGUUUGCGUCAAGAAAAAGGUUGAACUCUCUCCUGAGAAAGUCAGUCUGUCUGUAUGGAAGGAGCAAGACAAGCACUCAGACACAAGUCCCAGCUUGGCAGCUGCAGAUGCAAGAAAACUGAUAUCCCAGAGGUCCUGACCUAUUUUCUCUGUGCGGCAGUUCGUUGUCUAUAAAACAAGGAGACUCAAACAAGUGGUUUGAGGAGGAAAGUGUUCAUUGGUGUGAUGCUGAGAGAGAUGACAAUGUAAUGCCAUCUGCAGAUACGCCAGACCAACACAGCAGCUGUGCUACUGCAUUCUGGUGGUGUUUUAUGGCAAGACACACAGCACAGCGGUCUUCCAUUCUGCUGUCUUUCAUGUGAGAAUGAGAAAAACGACAAAAUGUCUUCAUGGUUCUCAUUAAAGGUCCUACCUUUAGCAGCCCUUUGAAUCUGGAUCAGCUCCCCAGGUAGAUUACUCCCUAUGUAGAUCACUCUGUAACCUCACUUUGUGAUAGUAAGAGGAAUGAUCCACUUAUUUCCUUGUUUCUUGAUGCACUUGGUUCAGCUUUCCAGGACUUCGUUUCUUUUCUUGCAGUCUUAAAAUUUGCAACCCUUCGAAUCAAGUUCAAGUGUGCCUUUCCUUCAAGGAUAGAACCAUGCUUGCAGCUAUCAUCGACCCCUGUGAUUCAAAAUACCAACACCACCACCUGGAAAUCCAUCUCAGAUGCCGCUCCUUCUUCAAGCAGAGUUUCCCACCUGUCUCAAACCAGGGGUUUUAGACAAUCAUGGAACUACCUGUGAAUAAUGCUGUGGUUCUGCUUCCUCCAGUGUGUCUUCAUAGGCCUGAUGUCAGCUUCUUUCUUGUGGAGACAAAGAAUGUCACCAUGAAUGUCCAUUGGCAAACUGGAUAAGAAGGAGUGUCACAGUGCAGGACAACCUAGAAAAUGACAGAUAUAUCUGAAGCCCUGGCAGCAUCUGCUAAAUCUACCGAACUGUUUUAGUGGAGGUUUUUAUACUUGCAUAAUUGAACCAGAGGGUUUGGGGGUUGUGUUCAUGUGCGUGUAGGGGAAUCCAAACAGGAAAGCUGGGAAAUGAUCUAAACCCUUUGAGGUUAACGUGCCAUGAAAGAGCAUCAACGACCGAAGAGGACAUUAUUAAAAAGCAGCCAACCCAGCUCAAAAAGAACCACUGUGUGAAGCAAGAGCCUGCAGAACAACACCCAGGGCUGUUUGUGAUCCCACUGGGAUAUGUAUUUCAUCCCCUGUCUUCAUAUCUCCAGAUUUCCUCUGAACUGCUUCUGAGACGCAUUCUCGAAAAAGAAAAACACCAGCAACUACUGAAUGCCUCUUAUCAACCUUUUCCCCGCAAUCUGUUUCGUAUUCGUCUCACACCCUUGUUCUCGCAGUGUCUUGGGGAAAUGCUCGGAUCAAAGAUAAGAGAGAACAAGGAAAGGAAUGAAGCAAGAGGCAAACAACAAAACAAAACCACCCCCACCCCCCCCCCAAACUUUCUGACUAAACUUCUCUGCGAACCGUGUGCACGAUUACAGCACUGUUAAAACUGCCUUCUUCUUCGCCAGUACUUAAUUCCUGCUUUUAAAAUCAGGCUCCCUUUGAUCUUGAGGAUUGAAAUGAUCUGGAAAUGA